UACGUAGGUGGCAAGCGUUGUCCGGAUUUACUGGGCGUAAAGAGCGCGCAGGCGGUCGUUCAAGUCGCGUGUGAAAGCCCCCGGCUCAACUGGGGAGGGUCACGCGAUACUAUCGACUCGAAGGCAGGAGAGGGUAGUGGAAUUCCCGGUGUAGUGGUGAAAUGCGUAGAUAUCGGGAGGAACACCAGUGGCGAAGGCGACUACCUGGCCUGUUCUUGACGCUGAGGCGCGAAAGCUAGGGGAGCAAAC
rnacentral:rRNA from 1 species